rfam:Clostridium ultunense Esp genomic scaffold, CTLT_3033
CGCCGAAAGCCUAAGGGUUCCUGAGGAAGGUUCGUCCGCUCAGGGUAAGUCGGGACCUAAGGCGAGGCCGAAAGGCGUAGUCGAUGGAGAACAGGUGGAAAUUCCUGUACCACCGAUUCCCGAUUGAGCGAAGGGGGGACGCAGGAGGAUAGGAAGAGCGCGCGGCUGGAAGAGCGCGUCCAAGCAGUGAGGGAGGCAAAGAGGGAAAUCCGUUUGCCGGAUCCUGGGCUGUGAUGGGGAGGGAAGUAAGAGUACCGAAGCUUCCGAAUUCAGACUGCCAAGAAAAGCCUCUAGCGAGGGGAAAGGUGCCCGUACCGGAAACCGACACAGGUAGGCGAGGAGAGAAUCCUAAGGCGCGCGAGAGAACUCUUGCCAAGGAACUCGGCAAAAUGACCCCGUAACUUCGGGAGAAGGGGUGCCUGCGGGAGCAGGCCGCAGAGAAGAGGCCCAAGCGACUGUUUAGCAAAAACACAGGUCUCUGCGAAGCCGGAAGGCGAAGUAUAGGGGCUGACGCCUGCCCGGUGCUGGAAGGUUAAGGGGAAGGGUGAAAGCUCAGAACCGAAGCCCCAGUAAACGGCGGCCGUAACUAUAACGGUCCUAAGGUAGCGAAAUUCCUUGUCGGGUAAGUUCCGACCCGCACGAAAGGCGUAACGACUUGGGCGCUGUCUCGGCAAGAGACUCGGUGAAAUCGUAAUACCUGUGAAGAUGCAGGUUACCCGCGACUAGACGGAAAGACCCCAUGGAGCUUUACUGCAGCCUGAUAUUGGACCUUGGUAUGUUCUGUACAGGAUAGGUAGGAGCCUAAGAAGCCGGUCCGCCAGGAUCGGUGGAGGCGAUGGUGGGAUACUACCUGAAGAUAGCGGGGUUCUAACCUACGCCCCUAAGGCGGGGUGGGGGAGCGUGUCAGGUGGGCAGUUUGACUGGGGCGGUCGCCUCCUAAAGCGUAGCGGAGGCGCCCAAAGGUUCCCUCAGCGCGGAUGGAAAUCGCGCGGCGAGUGCAAAGGCAAAAGGGAGCUUGACUGCGAGAGGGACGUCUCGAGCAGGGACGAAAGUCGGGCUUAGUGAUCCGGUGGUACCGAGAGGAAGGGCCAUCGCUCAACGGAUAAAAGCUACCCUGGGGAUAACAGGCUUAUCUCCCCCAAGAGUCCACAUCGACGGGGAGGUUUGGCACCUCGAUGUCGGCUCAUCGCAUCCUGGGGCUGUAGUCGGUCCCAAGGGUUGGGCUGUUCGCCCAUUAAAGCGGUACGCGAGCUGGGUUCAGAACGUCGUGAGACAGUUCGGUCCCUAUCUGUCGCGGGCGUAGGAAAUUUGAGAGGAGCUGUCCUUAGUACGAGAGGACCGGGAUGGACGUACCGCUGGUGAACCAGUUGUGCCGCCAGGCGCAUCGCUGGGUAGCUAAGUACGGAAGGGAUAAGCGCUGAAAGCAUCUAAGCGUGAAGCCCCCCUCAAGAUGAGAUUUCCGGUAAGACCCCUUGAAGAAGACGAGGUAGAUCGGUCCGGGGUGGAAGUGCAGCAAUGCAUGGAGCUGACGGAUACGAAUCGGUC